rnacentral:miRNA from 1 species
AAAGCGCUUCCCUUUUGAGGG